rnacentral:misc_RNA from 1 species
AAAUUGAGAGCAAACUUAGUGAUAUAGAGGAAAUUAAGCAAAGAUGGGGAGGUCUCCUUCUUGUGAUGAGAAUAGCCUGAAAAAAGGACCCUGGAUCCCUGAAGAAGAUCAAAAACUUGUUGACUACAUCCAAAAACAUGGACAUGGAAGUUGGCGAGCUCUCCCAAAGCUUGCAGGUCUUAACAGAUGUGGCAAGAGCUGUAGGUUAAGGUGGACAAAUUACCUGAGGCCUGAUAUCAAGAGAGGGAAAUUUUCUCAAGAAGAAGAGCAAACAAUUCUAAACCUCCAUUCUGUUCUUGGAAACAA